rnacentral:rRNA from 1 species
UACGGGGGGAGCAAGCGUUGUUCGGAUUUACUGGGCGUAAAGGGCGCGUAGGCGGUCAGCACAAGUCAGUUGUGAAAUCUCCGGGCUUAACUCGGAAAGGUCAACUGAUACUGUGCGACUAGAGUGCGGAAGGGGCAACUGGAAUUCUUGGUGUAGCGGUGAAAUGCGUAGAUAUCAAGAGGAACACCUGUGGCGAAGGCGGGUCUCUGGGCCACUACUGACGCUGAGAAGCGAAAGCAUGGGGAGCGAACAGG